rfam:Danio rerio chromosome 4, GRCz11 reference primary assembly.
GGUAGGUUAGCUCAGCUGGUUAGAGCGUGGUGCUAAUAACGCCAAGGUCGUGGGUUCGAUCCCCGUACUGGCCA